CAGCCGCCACGGUAAUACGUAGGGUGCGAGCGUUAAUCGGAAUUACUGGGCGUAAAGCGUGCGCAGGCGGUUUUGUAAGACAGGCGUGAAAUCCCCGGGCUCAACCUGGGAAUGGCGCUUGUGACUGCAAAGCUAGAGUGCGGCAGAGGGGGAUGGAAUUCCGCGUGUAGCAGUGAAAUGCGUAGAUAUGCGGAGGAACACCGAUGGCGAAGGCAAUCCCCUGGGCCUGCACUGACGCUCAUGCACGAAAGCGUGGGGAGAAAAUGGGAUUAGAUACCCGCGUAGUCCCUGUCUCUUAUAC
rnacentral:rRNA from 1 species